AUGACGGUAAAGGCACGGCCUCCAACGAGACCUGUGGGCACGGCCAUGUUGGGGGCGGGGCUUCCGGUCACCCGCGCCGGUGGUUUCCGCCCUGUAGGCCCGCCUCUCCAGCAACCUGACACCUGUGCCGCGCCCCUUCACUGCGUUCCCCGCCCCUGCAGCGGCCGCAGUGGUGCGGCGGGCGGCCGAGCGUUCUGAGUCACCCGGGACUGGAGGCAGGAACCCAGCCAUGGUGAACGAAGCCAGAGGAAACAGCAGCCUCAACCCCUGCUUGGAGGGCAGUGCCAGCAGUGGCAGUGAGAGCUCCAAAGACAGUUCGAGAUGUUCCACCCCGGGCCUGGACCCCGAGCGGCAUGAGAGACUCCGAGAGAAGAUGAGGCGGCGAUUGGAAUCUGGUGACAAGUGGUUCUCCCUGGAAUUCUUCCCUCCUCGAACUGCUGAGGGAGCUGUCAAUCUCAUCUCAAGAAACAAACCCCCUACAGGUUUGACCGGAUGGCAGCAGGCGGCCCCCUCUACAUAGAUGUGACCUGGCACCCAGCAGGUGACCCU
rnacentral:sRNA from 1 species